rnacentral:lncRNA from 1 species
AUGGUCAGCAGAACUGGGAGUGGUUGGCUACACUUUAUGGCUCACAACUGUAAUCCCAGCACUUUGAGAGGCCAAGGUUUCACCUGUGCACACGAUGGUGAGAGUGAGGCUGAAUUAAUACCUGACAACUUUGAAGAAAAACCAGAGAGGGAAAAGAAGCAUACCAACUUUACUUUGUGCAACGUAUGUAACAUUCAGCUGAAUUCAGCCGCUCAAGCUCAAAUCCACUACAAUGGCAAAUCACAUCAAAAGAGAUUGAAACAACUCAGCAACGGGAUGCUGAAAAAUGACAAUGGUAUCCUAAUGGCUACAUCCAAUUCAAAGCCAGAGAACAAAGGAGCCAGUUGUUGUAGUCAUUGUUGGUUAGCCUUCCAGUGA